rnacentral:tRNA from 1 species
GCCCUUGUAGCUCAAAUGGAAGAGCAACUGGUUCCGAUCCAGUAGCGUUCAGGUUCAAGUCCUGACAAGGGUU